GUUGACCUCGGAUCACGUAGAGUU
rnacentral:rRNA from 1 species